AUUGAACGCUGGCGGCAGGCCUAACACAUGCAAGUCGAGCGAGCGGCGGACGGGUGAGGAAUGUAUGGGGACUGCCCGAUAGAGGGGGAUAACUACUGGAAACGGUAGCUAAUACCGCAUACUAUCGGAUAACCCAUAUGGGAUUAGCUAGUUGGUGAGGUAAUGGAGCACCAAGGCGACGAUCCCUAGCUGGUCUGAGAGGAUGAUCAGCAACACUGGGACGGAGACACGGCCCAGACUCCGACGGAGGCAGCAUUGGGGAAUAUUGCACAAUGGGCGCAAGCCGGAUACAGCCAUGCCGCGUGUAGGAAGAAGGCCCUAGGGUUGUAAAGUACUUUCAGUCGGGAGGCGUUACCGACAGAAGAAGCACCGGCUAACUCCGUGCCAGCAGCCGCGGUAAUAC
rnacentral:rRNA from 1 species